UAUGAUAAAAGAUUUUAUUACAUAGUAAUAGCAAUGUGAUAUGACAAUUUAGUCUCGGUAUUUUUAAUAUAAAUUAUUACUGUGUCAUCUACUUCGAUAUUCCUCUUUAUUCGAGACUAUACAUAUUCGACAAAGUAUGCGUAUGUAUAUUAUUUGCGCUAUUUUACACAUACAUGCACGCGCGGGUAAAGUGAUUGAUUCGAUCUUCAGCUUGGAAUUAUGAUAUAUCGUCUUUUCCCGUGCACACGAUGUUGCGCCUCAGGCCUAUCAGCAUGCUAUGUAAAUGGAAGGGUAGACAUGUAAACCGCUUCGCUCGACUCUCCCGUCGCAGGUAUACAUGACGUGUUUCUUAACGAUGUGGCCACGUGCGUUCACGGUUGUCGAAUUAUCUCGUACGACGUUUUAUUUCGUGCUCGUCGGAAAACCAUUAGCUGGCGCGACACGUAAACGCUUCUCUAAUUUGACAUUUGUUAGUAUACGAUGCUAACGCAAGCCGCGCAUUGAGGGUGAUGGGAGUUCGUGACGGAUUUCCCGUCACAUUUCGACGGGCGCGGCAAAUCGCAUCGACUGGCGAUUCAUGUAAAUUUAAUAGUACGAUGUCGCUUGAAAUUCGCAAUCACCGCGUCGAAUUUACUUCAUUCUAUUUGGGAUUAUAUAGACCCUUUAAUUUCUCAUUAACGUAGCUUUACGCGGAUUAAUUCGAGAAAUGAGAUUUAUGAUAUGAUGGAUUAUACGCCUCGUUUGUUUUAUUUACAGAGUUAUCUGAUAAAUGUGUAUAUAAUUUAUGUAUCUCCAUUCGUUUUUUUGUACAGAUUUUUAUUACGGAUUCAACCGAUGCAUGUUUUCGGCGGACAUUCAUUUGACGUUCUAAGCAGAAAUAUAUAGACCACCGUUAAGAGAUAUGCGAUGAAGUACCUUCAUGCAUUUUAUGCGAUCGCGUGAUUAUUAUCUGACUCUAAGUGGAGUAGGAGACGUACUGGUACUCCCUGUGACUCAUGCAAGGAAUUCACUGAGGCUACCAUCGUAUAAGCCCGCUACAGAAUCGAUAUGACACGUAUACCUUUAGGAAUGUUAAACUACAGUUUCCCCUGCAGUGGGCACUCGUAAAGUCCGAUACAUUGUACGCCGAGAGUUAUAUUCAUCAUGGUUGUAACCGUCUACGAUGGUGGACACGCGAUCGGCGAAAGGAUCGAUGUUCUGCGACGUCUGCGAUCAUCCAGUAGCGGCACGUGACGAAGAACGCGAGUGGAAAUCCAAGAAAUCUCUCCGAGACUUAGCGGAGUAAAACGUGGACGCGCAUCGGAUCGCAAGCUUAACUCUGAGCGGCAACUCUGUAAAAAGCUGUAUGCGGGGAAGUAAACGAAAUGGGGCAACAAUAAACGAACGCGAAGGCGAAAGGGGAGCGGCCGAUGGAAACGUCAAAAUGUAACACGGUAUUACGAAGCGCGUACAAACGGCCGGUUGUUCUGCAAUAAUGCCAGUAUUGUUGAGCUUAUCAAGCGAGGCUAAUUGGACGCCAACAGCUGGACCGAGGCUUCGCUGUAACCCAGACUGCAGUCCGCGCGCCGCCUCUACUUUACACUGAUAAUGUAAUGGGACCUAUCUGGAACACAAAAGGCCGCAAUAGAUUAAUGGAUUUGUCUGAAAUUGUCACCGAGUGUCAAAACAAAUCGAUGGGGAAAACGGGAGACAGUAUUUGCAGCUAGACGGAGAGUUGCGCGUUGCAUCGUCGCCGUUGAACUCGUUAAUCCCCUUUAUCGGCCUUUCAACGAAAUUGCAUGCAAAUGCGAAAUACAGUCCGAAAUACACGAAUCUCCUACGAGAUUUCCAAAACAAAACUUAUAGUCUUAUAUUCAUCUGACCUUCAAUAGAUCGCUUAUUUCAUAAUUAUCCAUUUUACAAUUUCCUCUUCAUUUCGAUUUCCAGCUAUAAACAUUGAUCUUGUUAUCUCGAUUUUAUGCGUAUCGUC
rnacentral:lncRNA from 1 species